UCCCUGGUAGUAUAUCGGUUAGUACACGCGCCUGUCACGUGUAGCAUAAUUGCGCGCGAAAGCUGGGUUCGACUCCCAGCCAGGGAG